AUCAAAAUUAAUACCAAUUUUAGGGAAAUUAACAUCACAUGCUUCCUGAUAUAUUCUAAGGCAGAGACCAUAAUGUCAUUGAUAUUCCUUCCAAGAACGCAUAGCCUGCAUCUCAUCAGGAAAAAACAUUAGACAAAACCCAAGUCGGAGGUUGGUCCUCAAAAUGACUGGCCUCGCCCCUCCGAAGAUGUCAAGGUCAAGAAAGACAGAGGGCUCCAGACUAAAGAGCUCUGCUAGCCAGGGCGACCAUGACCUAGGUCCUGGGCUGGGGACAGAGUGGCUGUGAAGAGCAUUAAUUGGGGCAAUGACAAAAUCUGAGUAGGGGGUAGAAAUGAGAUAUUGUCAUUACUAUUACGCUUUCCAGAUAAUGGUAUUUUUAUCGUAGCUACAGGUUUUGACAUUGGAGGUUGUGUUCUGGUUUUAGGAAAGAGAGACUUUUUCUGAGGAGACGCACACUGAAGGGCUUGGGGACAGGCUCGUGCUGUCCCCAGCGGACUCCCGGCUGGCUCGGGGAAAUGUGCGUGUGUAAAAGAGAACAUGGAAGCCAGUGAAGCAAAAUGUAAACAACUGGGGAAUUUUCAUAAUGGGAAUGUGGAGAUUUCUUGUACAGUGUUUGUGAAAUUUUUUGUGAGUUUGAAAUUGUAUCAAGAUAAUAUUUUUUGAAAACCUAAGAGUAAGGCUCGUGACCUAGGAAAAACUUCUUUCACAGGCCCCAGAUGAAUGGACAGUCCUCACCAGUCCUCCUAGAGCGAUGCCAGGUUUCGUGCCACUGUCCCUUACUUAGAACGUAAGCCUGUGAAACAGGGUUAGAGUGUAACUUUCCCCAGACAGUGUUGUUCGAGUUCAUAGCUUUCUCUCGCUCCGCCUUUGUUCAAGCCGCUGGAGCACAUCCAGAAAGAUGUGCAGACUAUGCGUGUUGUCCUUUGCACGUGGGACCUCUCACACCUGAGCACUUGGUGAGGUUUGGCCUGCAGGCAAUUUGAGGCUCUCAUCUGGGGCAGGAAUUCUGAAUGUAGCUCUUCUGUGUUGUCAAGUUCAGACACUUGUGCUUGAGCGGGCAGGUAGGUGAAGGCGAGAGCCCCUCUGUAGGUAUUGCUGCAGGCCAGGCCAGAGACCUGAAUGAGGGAACGGCCUGGGUGCAGCCCUCUCAGGCAUACAUUCGCUCUCAAACCCUGCGCCAUAAACAUGCCAGUGAUCAUUUUAGCUUGGCACGUUCUCAAGAAAAAGAUUGAAACGUUGUUUAUUGUGGCCAUCAAAAAAAAAAAAACCUCCAUGGAAGCUACCCCCCAUCCUGGUGCUGAAUGUCUCCUUUUGAGUGUGGGGACAUUCUGACAAGAACUCUGAAACUUAAUUGUGGAAAGUGUGAAAGAUGGCGAAAUUCAGUGGGCCAAUAAAUAUAGAAUUAUUGGCUCUAAGCCAUUUAAACAUUUGAGAGAGAGAACAGUGGAUCUUAAGACAGUUUUUCUGACAGUGAUUAGCAAGACCCCCUGCCUAACGAGGCUGCUCCUAGUGACAGUAACUCCUACAGGGGUGUCCUAGCAUGUCAGGGAAAGUCACCGUCUUUGUAGUCGGGCUGCCCCCAUUCACACCCCCAUCACCCCGCUUACCAGCUGUGCGACUCCGGGUGAUUUGUUCAACCUCUCUGAGUUCCGCUGUUCUCUAGAGAUUGUCCUCCUCCCUCUGGGGGCAGUACUAUUAUAAUAGUGCCCGCCGCAGAGCAUCGUGUGUGAGGAUCCAAUUCAUAACUACGUCUGACCGGAACAGGUGCAUCAGAAGUGCCCCGUAUCUCUAGAUGUUAGCACUUCUUUGUCUAGUCUCAGGAGCAGUGAGCUGUGUUUAAGGAGGACGGCCCAGACCCUGUUUUACAUCACCGAAUUUUCAUCUGGCAGGGGCCCUUUCGCUUCGGGGACCAGCCUGGGAUUAAGGUGCCGCUUCCGUGCAAGCGGCGGUGGCCAGGAGUGCACUGUGUUCGUUCUCACUGUGAUGUCCACAGAGGCAGAAAGCCUCAGGAAUAGCAAUAAAAACUGGAUGUUCUCGUGCUGUUUCUGACAGCUUUCCUAUCCUAAAGAGAAUAAAAGCAGUCAGCAUUGGCUUUAAAAACAAGAACAAAACACUUCACACAUUGCAGUUGCUUAUGGAAGGAAUUGGCAAAGACUCGAGGAGGGCAAUUUCUAGAAACCUAAUGAAUCGUAAUUUUGACAGGGAAGUUACUCAGGGUAGAAAAGUUGGCAUGGACCAUGAACCCUCUGGGCAGAGUGGACCUUAAAUAAUUCUAGUAUUAUUUUCCACUCAGGUGCUUCAUUCAAGGUAUACUUUUCAGUAAGUAUUCCAUAUAAAAAAAAAUGUAGCUUAUGCCUUGUUGCAGAAGGAGCGGGGAGACAUCUUGAGUCACGAAGCUGAGAAGGAUCUUACUCUCGGGGGUCCGUAAGCCCCUGGGUUUUCAGGAUGCCCCUCGCCACUGGGAUGCCGCUGCCCACUCUCUCCCAGAGCUGCGUUCAUCCCUGAUUCCUGUGAUCUCUCUCUCUCAAGGGAACAAAAGUUUUAUAAUUCAGCUCAAAUGCAGUAAUAUCCCCGUAGUCCUGUCUAAGCUUUGUUGUUUUAGUUGCUGCUCCACUGCCUGGCUAAGUCGUUUCUAGUUUCUAGGACAAGCCCCGGCCUCCCCCUAGCAGCCGCUGGACGUCUAGACAAGUACAGAGGCGUAAAGACACCAGACGCAAUUCCAGCCCACCCUCCCCAUUCACAGGUCUUGUUGAGAAUGAGACCCCCUUGCUCCGUUUCACUUUUUAAGCUUCCGGAUGCCACCAGUCCAAUCUGAAAUACAAAUAAGCUCCAGGACAGUUAUGCCAAGCCAGGGCGGGCGUGUGGGAGCAGUGAGCUGAGUGCCCAGGAGAAGCGGCGCUGGGUGUGUGUGCUGUGCUGGUCAAGGUCAAGUUCGUGGUGCUGGCGAGCUGUGGUAGGAACCUGCUCUCAGGUGUUUCCCCCGUGCUGGCAGUCAGCACUCAGCUGUUCGUUUGUAAGUGAAUUCGAGAGGAACUUUUCCGUUCAGGUGUAUAAUGCCAUGUUUAGGGUGGUGUUCCUUAAAUGAUUUGGCUUACAGCUCCUUGGGGAAUCUGAUAAAAGCUGUGGACCCUCUUGUCUCAGAAGAAGGCACAUUUGCGUAUACAAACUUGAAAAAAGCGCAGUAAUUUCAAAGAAUUUACAUGGAGCACUUUCAGGAUGGUUCUUGAAGCCUUUUAAAUGCUGUAAAACUGGCCAUUAAAAAACCUAUCUUCCUCUUCCUUUGAAAAGGUUCUGGCAGGGCUCUCUGAACCUCUUAACAGUCUCAGAAUAUAUAAUCCAAGAUAACGAUAGUAACUGCCGCACACUGAGCUUUCACUACUUGUCAGACACGACGUGUUCCUCGUAGCCAACAAGUGAACCCUGGAUUGUCCCUUCCAAACCCGCCCCUCUGCAGCCUCCCCACCCCAGGCAGCCCACUCCCAUCUCUUCAGGAGGAGCACAGGCGCGCUGGAUCCUGCCACCGCCCUGCUGUCCCUGUCCCCCUAGCCACCGUCAUCUCUCACCUUGUGCAUCGCACGGGAGCUCCGACUUCCACCCUCUCUGUUCUCGACGCGGCGGUCAGAGUCACUGGUCCUGUUAAACUGCAAGUCUUGUCCUGCUGUUCGACUCAGAGUCCUCCCGAGGUUCCCCAUGUCAUUCAGAGGGGAAGGUGGAACCCUUACAACGGCGGAAGCUCUGUGCAGGCCAGCUGCGGGGGCCUGUUCACUUGGACCGCAGUAUGGUGUGCGGUGCAGGACAUGCAGAGCGGCCUCCGCGGUGGCCGCAAGGACCCGCCCGGGCUGCCCCAGUGCCCUUACCCACUCGCUUCCGUGGCCUGGGCUCUCCCCCUCCUUUUCCCUCAUCACUGUUCUGGCCACGCCAGCCUCCUUCCUGAGUCUCAAGCCUCAAGUCCGCCAGGCCCUCUCCUGCCUCAGGGUCUUUGCACUUGCGUUUACUUCUGCCAGGAAGCGUCUUCCCUCAAAUAGCUUAGCUUACGUCUUUACGUUCCUAAGUCUUUGCUCAAAAGUCAUCUUGUGGGGUAUUAACCAUCCUUAUUAAAUGCCAUCCUCACUUCUACCCUAGCACUUGUUAUCUGCUUUUACUCUGUCCUGGAGUUUUUUGUUUUUUGUUUUUUUGGGGGGUAGUAAUCAUCAUCUUCCCACAUAUUAAUAAUAGCUCAUUUAUGCAUGUUUCUCUCUUCCCACUGGAAUGCAGCUUAUACUAGCAUGGAGAUUCUUGUCUGUUCCGUUCAGUGCUGUGUGCAUAGGACCUAGAAGAGUGACUGAUACAUAAUAAGGACUCGAAUAUCUGUUGAAUGAAAUGAACAAACCCUAGGAGAAUAUAUACUUUUUUAUAAAUAUGGUUUUAGAUUUAGUGAGAUGAAGCAACUUGCUCCAAGUCACACAACUGAUAGGUAGUAUACCUAGAAUUUGUGCACGUUCUGAUGUCAAAGACUGUGUUCUUAACUGCUGAAAAUAUUUCUUU